rnacentral:rRNA from 1 species
AGAGCUCAAAGUUAAAAUCGGUGUACCGAGAGGUGCUCCGAAUUGUAAUCUAGAGACACUUUUUCAGCUCUGACCCGGGUAUAAAUCUUUUGAAACAAGGUGUCAUAGAGGGUGAGAAUCCCGUCUUUGACCCGGAGUUCGGGGCGUACGAAGGGUGUUCCAAGAGUCGAAUAGCUUGGGAAUGCUGUUCUAAAUGGGUGGUAAAUUUCAUCUAAAGCUAAAUAUCGACGAGAGACCGAUAGCGAA